CCUACGGGUGGCAGCAGUGGGGGAUAUUGCACAAUGGGGGGAACCCUGAUGCAGCGACGCCGCGUGGGUGAAGAAGCGCCUCGGCGCGUAAAGCCCUGUCAGCAGGGAAGAAAAUGACGGUACCUGAAGAAGAAGCCCCGGCUAACUACGUGCCAGCAGCCGCGGUAAUACGUAGGUGGCGAGCGUUGUCCGGAUUUACUGGGCGUAAAGGGAGCGUAGGCGGACUUUUAAGUGAGAUGUGAAAUACUCGGGCUCAACUUGAGUGCUGCAUUUCAAACUGGAAGUCUAGAGUGCAGGAGAGGAGAAUGGAAUUCCUAGUGUAGCGGUGAAAUGCUUAGAUAUCACGAAGAACUCCGAUUGCGAAGGCAGUUCACUGGACUGCAACUGACACUGAGGCUCGAAAGUGUGGGUAUCAAACAGGAUUAGAUACCCCAGUAGUC
rnacentral:rRNA from 1 species